UAAAACAGGUUUGAGCAAUACAAUAGGUGAAGUUACCGCCUAUCAUCUAUCCCUUCUCUGCUCUCUUGUUCUCCCCACUCACCAAGAGAGACCAGGGAAGAGAGUGAUGCUCAUGCUUAGCGAUUCCAGCAAUCAAUGCAGCGAUUCAACAAUCCUGAAGCGAGACCUUUUGUUGCGACCUCGCCCGUAGACCUUGUGGCGACGCCGGCGUCCGCAU